CAGAAAUAAUUAUGAUGAAGUGUAUAAUUUUGUUGAUCAUAUUUACUGAUUAACAUGAUAACCUUGUUCUUACUGAGAAAUCAUCGAACAGGUGUUAUGAUUUAAAUUGGUCAUAGCUCAGCAUCAAUAAUUUUAUACAACGGUCAAUUUUCAAAAUUAGAUCCGGGAUACGAAUUUUGAAUUAUUGGCUAGUACGUAGUUAAAUGGUAAUUCAUGAAUUUGUCAUUUCGUUUGCAACACAUGUCUUGUUUUUAAAAAAUAACAUCUUUGAAUAAUAAUAGGCCGCUUUGCUUUAUAUAAAAGAUUUUAAGAUGGGUAUAUUACAGUCAUAGUACAUCUUCAGUUUGUAAAGAACAGCAUCAUGUUUAAGUUUUUACUUGUGGUAAUCCUGUUGAUUACCCUUGCAGUCGGAGUUCCAGUCCCUGCACCACAACCACAACUGUAUUACGGUUCAUACCCUUAUUCUUAUGCAGGAUACGGCUAUAGCCCUUACUCUUAUGGUUACGGAUUAUAUUAUUAGAUAUUAUUUUAUUUUUGUAAUUUCAGCAUUUUAUUGUAGAAAAGUGUAGUAAUAAAACAUUUGACCGUUGAAUUGUUUUAUUGAUCUUAAAACGAAAAGAUAAAAAAUGUGAAAAAACAUUUAACAAACUAUCCCAGAACCACUUGUUUUGUGCCUCAAAACCAGUUUCUGAUUUUUGGUCUAAAACAAUAAAAGCAGUUUUUUACGUAAUAUAGCAACAAUAAAAUUACAAAGUAAAAUUUAUAGAAAAAACAAAAAGGAAACCAAAACAAUACUUGACCUAAUUAAUAUCUCUAGGUGUGUCAUUCUUCCCGACACACCUGUUUUAUGUCUUAUAUAACCGACGUAAUAUUCCAAUUUCUAUGUUAGAUUUUGCAGAUCUACUACAUAUCAAAAUGUUCAAACUUUUUGUAUUCUUGGCUUUGGUGGCUUUUGCCCUUGCCUUGCCACAACCCGAGGCUCAACCCCAAGUUGUUUACUCUCAUCAUCCAGUUUAUUCUCAUGUUGGCUACAGCGGUGUUUACGGUCAUGUUUCCCCCUAUGUAGGACAUUAUUUCUACUGAAAAUGAAAAAAGAUGUUUGCUGAAAAAUAAUAAUUAUAAUAUGUAAAAACUAAAAAAAUAAAGUACUUAUGAUCCGAAAAAUAAUCCCAAA